rnacentral:rRNA from 1 species
CAGCCGCCGCGGGAACACAGAGGGUGCGAGCGUUAAUCGGAUUUACUGGGCGUAAAGCGUGCGUAGGCGGCUUCUUAAGUCGGAUGUGAAAUCCCUGAGCUUAACUUAGGAAUUGCAUUCGAUACUGGGAAGCUAGAGUAUGGGAGAGGAUGGUAGAAUUCCAGGUGUAGCGGUGAAAUGCGUAGAGAUCUGGAGGAAUACCGAUGGCGAAGGCAGCCAUCUGGCCUAAUACUGACGCUGAGGUACGAAAGCAUGGGGAGCAAACAGGAUUAGAUACCCCAGUAGUCCCUGUCUCUUAUAC